rnacentral:lncRNA from 1 species
ACCUCUUUAAUAAUGAAUACUAACCAUUACUUCUAUUGUUUUUCUUUUACGUUGUAGGCAAUGGUCAGAAAAUAAGUGUGAAAUUCCAAAAAAGACCCUUUUAGCCUUUUACAAUUCCAGCAUAUCGUGUAGGCACCCAUGGAAGACGGCAAGAUAGAAAGUGGCGUGCAUAGGGCUGGGAGAUACGAUUUUAACUCUCUUCCUGAAUAAGGAGGCAGCAAUGGCGAAGGGGGUUCAUGCAAGAAGGGCCCAUAUAUUUGAUUUAAAAUAGCAUUGAUGGAUACCAAGGGAAUGGAGUAAAAUUCCAUGAUCUAAAUAAUAAUCCUGGAAUACUUAUUAGAAAGGGACGUCGGAGAAAAAGAGCUCACAAACAAGACAGGGGAUCCUACCCUCAAAUCCCCUGAAGCCAGGAUGGACUUUUCAUCCAUCGAGGAGGAGGAGCUGCUAAGGUCACCAGCCGCUAGCAACUCAGAAGCUGAAGUAAGCGAACUCCUCGACCAGGGCAGACCAAAAGGUUUUGACCAGGCGAGAGUUAACGCUACCGAAGUUGAAAAAUUGCUGCGACUCAAGAAAAAAAAGAAGCAGGCAAGGAACCGCAACCGCACAAAGAGGAAGGACAGAGGAAGAAGGAGAAGCGAGAAGCCAACCAGGAGGGAUCAACAGUUCCUCCAGGACCAGCUUCUGCUUCUACAAAUCCUCUUGUAGGAGGCAGCUCUAAGGGCAUCAACAAAGCCUCGGAACAGCGGGCAACACCGGAGGAGUCGCCAGCUAGUAAAAGGGCGUGGACCAAGGACAAGAGAUGUAAGGCGAGAGGCAGAUAAGCUGAAGCCAAUCAUCCUGCCCGCGGCACCCGCCGCUCUCAGGGAAGAGGACACCCAGCAACGGCGCCUUUAGUAAAAAGAGGCAAAUCAAAAAGGAUACCCCACCCGACCGCCAGCAUAAGAAGCCUAGGCAACAGCGCAGGUCCAUCCCUCAAAAAGAUGUGCAGACAGGCGCGUCUCCCCUUCUAAGAAGAGAUACCCAGUCAGGGCAUCUACGAGGAAGAAAUGAGCAACCCAGUUCCGGCUCCUAUAGCGGGGCAGUCAACAGGGCAAAUCAGGUCGUUUUUAGGUCAGACAGAGAAGGUGAAAGGACCGCCUAAGGCUCCACCUCAUCUCUGAAAUGAGGACGACCAAGGCUGAGCUCCACUCUCAAAACUCCGGACUCACAGAGACGGGCUGGUUUCUGGUUACGACGGAGGAUGAACCCUCAAGAGACUGGCUUUUGAGCUCCUGUCAACCACUGACCGAGGGUAGUCACACCUUCACCGCGGUGAAGUCAUCCGACGCCCCAUGACCAGUGGAGAUAGUCUUCACUCUGAGAACACCGGAGCGGCCAGACUUAGAGUAUGUCAGGGAAAUCCUUGACGUCCGAGCUUUUCGAGUGACCGUUUGGCGAACGCCCACCAGGCCCAGCACCGCAUCCGUAACCUCCAAGCCACCAGAAGGGAAGCCUUAGGUAGGUAAGAGGGCUACCCCUACACCCAUGGAUGUCCCCCAUGGCGCAAUUAAAGGGAACAAAUAAGAGGACUAGGGGCCACCGGCUACAAACUUAUAGCCGGUGUUGAAGGAGACCAGAGGCCCAGAACGUGUCUCUUAGCAUCCAGGGAGCUUCAACUAACACUUUUACCACAAGUAAGCUCCAAGGAUGCUACGGCAGCUCUGCUGGAGUACACGAUCUUGAAGUCAUCAACAAAGGAGACUCUUCCAGUGUUUUACCACCCUUGGAUGGCUAUCAAUAGGAAUUAAAAAGAGCAACGGCCUAAAAUUACUACCCUGUGGCACCACAGAAACUGCAGAAAAACCCUUAGACAUUGAUUUUGCAACUUUAAAAAUCUAUUGUAGUAAGGUCAGGUAUGUUUUCAAAUUGUAGCGUUUUUACCAAUAAGAUACACUAAACACUUUUUACCGUUUUUACACACUAAACACUAUAAGUUAAGACUACUAAAAAUAUUUAUUUAAAAGUCUAUUCAAUUUUAAAAGUCGCGCCAAUACUCUUACUUAACCUGAAUUCCUCUUAGAACCUAGCAGUUUUUAUUAUACAGAAGGAAUAAAAAUGAA